rnacentral:lncRNA from 1 species
AGUAAGUAUUCCCAGGUAAAGCAGGCUGCCUGCUUUGCCAAGUCACACUGAACCAGACAACGAAUACAAGGCGAACGGCUUCACGUGUUUUGAUUGGUCUUCGGUGUCACAACAGGAUGUCCAUGUACGACAUCACAAUUAACGUCUUAAGUCACCUUGCAGGUUUUGAAUGUCAAAAAGUAUCGUAUGUGAAUCUCCUUAUCAAAGACCUGGUCAGAUGUUAAAGCAGUAUUCUGUAAAUGGAGGUAUUGAAUUGUUCAUCUUUUUAAUGCAAAAAAGAACGGAUCCUGAUUCAGUAUUCGAUCUGUGAGGAUUUACUUAGAAUUCAUCGCAUCACACACAAAAACGUCCACGUUCAGGUCAGCACCUGCAGGAAAAACAUGAGUAAGAAGAAUAUUUCAGAGAGCCGAUGUCCUGGGGGAAAGAAAUGACUGGGAAACGUGGGUAGUGUGGACUGUUGGGGUUCGACGCACAAAGAAUGACGAGGCGUGGGAAGACGAAUUGACCAGGAGGAGCCGGAGUGUGAGACCAGCCAGCUUCGAGAAGCAGAAGCCAUCAUUGUAGCAACAAAAUAGACAGACUAGAGACAACAUGUCUGUGAACCAGCUGACGGAGUAUACCCGUUUGUGACUGAAUUCCAGUUAGUCAAGUGGACAUACUCUGAAGACGAAGGGGAUACCCAGGGUACCUGCUGCAUGAAGAAUUUAUAAUUAAGAGGAUGCUAAUGUAUUUGAUGUAGAGAAUAAAGUUUGUUUAAUUA